rnacentral:tRNA from 1 species
GCCUCGUUGAUCAAGCGGUUAAGAUGUAGCCCUCUCAAGGCUGAAACAGGGGUUCGAUUCCCCUACGAGGUACCA